rnacentral:rRNA from 1 species
AAGUAACGCUAGCUAUAUGCUUAACACAUGCAAGUCGAACGUUGUUUUCGGGCGCGCUUGUCUCGCCUUGAGAACAAAGUGGCGAACGGGUGCGUAACGCGUGGGAACGUGCCCUUUACUACGGAAUAGCCCAGGGAAACUUGGAUUAAUACCGUAUACGCCCUUCGGGGGAAAGAAUUUCGGUGAAGGAUCGGCCCGCGUUGGAUUAGGUAGUUGGUGGGGUAAUGGCCUACCAAGCCGACGAUCCAUAGCUGGUUUGAGAGGAUGAUCAGCCACACUGGGACUGAGACACGGCCCAGACUCCUACGGGAGGCAGCAGUGGGGAAUCUUAGACAAUGGGGGCAACCCUGAUCUAGCCAUGCCGCGUGAGUGAUGAAGGCCUUAGGGUUGUAAAGCUCUUUCAGCUGGGAAGAUAAUGACGGUACCAGCAGAAGAAGCCCCGGCUAACUCCGUGCCAGCAGCCGCCGUAAAAC